UACGAAGGGGGCUAGCGUUGUUCGGAAUUACUGGGCGUAAAGCGUGCGCAGGCGGCUUCUCAAGUCAGGGGUGAAAGCCCAGAGCUCAACUCUGGAAUUGCCUUUGAGACUGAGUGGCUUGGGUACGAGAGAGGUGAGUGGAAUUCCCAGUGUAGAGGUGAAAUUCGUAGAUAUUGGGAAGAACACCGGUGGCGAAGGCGGCUCACUGGCUCGUAACUGACGCUCAGGAGCGAAAGCGUGGGGAGCGAACAGG
rnacentral:rRNA from 1 species